CGGCUCGUGGCCACGCCUACUUCCGUUACACUUCGCUCCGUGCAUUGGGGAUAGGGACGCCACCUCCUUGGUUCUUCUGUGAUGCAUCAGGGCCUCAUCAGCUCAUCGACGACUAAAUCGCCCACUUCAAGGUUCCAGUUGCACCAAGCAGGUGCACUCACCCUCAGGUUGCAAGCCGCUCUCUUCAAGUCGCAUGGGGUGCUUUAUGAGGUCCCAGCUGCACCAAGCAGGUGCACGCACCAUUUCAGAUGGCGAGCCGUUCUCUUUAAGCCACAUGGAGUGUUCCAUGAGGUGAGCGUGCAUUUGUAGUGGUCCUUGGGACAUGUUGUGCUGUAGGCUUAUGGC